GUGCCUAACACAUGCAAGUCGAACGGGGUAGCAAUACCCAGUGGCAGACGGGUGAGUAACACGUGGUCAACCUACCUCUGUGUGGGGAUAACUAGCCGAAAGGUUAGCUAAUAUCGCAUACGAUCGCUCUGGGGCAUCCCUAAGCGAUGAAAGGAGCAAUCCGCACGGAGAGGGGACUGCGUCCCAUUAGUUAGUUGGUGGGGUAAUGGCCUACCAAGACUCCGAUGGGUAGCUGGCUUGAGAGAGCGACCAGCCACACUGGAACUGAGACACGGUCCAG
rnacentral:rRNA from 1 species